rnacentral:rRNA from 1 species
AGUGAACGCUGGCGGUAGGCCUAACACAUGCAAGUCGAACGGCAGCACAGGAGAGCUUGCUCUCUGGGUGGCGAGUGGCGGACGGGUGAGGAAUACAUCGGAAUCUACUUUUUCGUGGGGGAUAACGUAGGGAAACUUACGCUAAUACCGCAUACGACCUACGGGUGAAAGCAGGGGACCUUCGGGCCUUGCGCGAUUGAAUGAGCCGAUGUCGGAUUAGCUAGUUGGCGGGGUAAAGGCCCACCAAGGCGACGAUCCGUAGCUGGUCUGAGAGGAUGAUCAGCCACACUGGAACUGAGACACGGUCCAGACUCCUACGGGAGUCAGCAGUGGGGAAUAUUGGACAAUGGGCGCAAGCCUGAUCCAGCCAUACCGCGUGGGUGAAGCAGGCCUUCGGGUUGUAAAGCCCUUUUGUUGGGAAAGAAAUCCAGCCGGCUAAUACCUGGUUGGGAUGACGGUACCCAAAGAAUAAGCACCGGCUAACUUCGUGCCAGCAGCCGCCGUAAAAC